rnacentral:rRNA from 1 species
UACGGAGGGUGCAAGCGUUAUCCGGAUUUAUUGGGUUUAAAGGGUCCGUAGGCGGAUCUGUAAGUCAGUGGUGAAAUCUCACAGCCUAACUGUGAAACUGCCAUUGAUACUGCAGGUCUUGAGUGUUAUUGAAGUAGCUGGAAUAAGUAGUGUAGCGGUGAAAUGCAUAGAUAUUACUUAGAACACCAAUUGCGAAGGCAGGUUACUAAGCAACAACUGACGCUGAUGGACGAAAGCGUGGGGAGCGAACAGG